CUCAAAACUUUAUUCUUCGAA
rnacentral:piRNA from 1 species